rnacentral:tRNA from 1 species
GUGCCGGUAGCUCAGCUUGGGAGAGCGCAGGACUGUGGAUCCUGAGGUCGCGGGUUCGAUUCCCGCCCGGCACC